rnacentral:rRNA from 1 species
AUGGUGAACACCUAUUGGCAACGCAUCAAGGAGUACUUCGAUGAGCGCAACACAAGUGGUCACUUCCGUUCGAGCGACUCUCUACGCCAGCGUUGGUCCACCAUCAACGCCGAAUGCCAAAAGUGGGCCGGUUGCUUGUCAAACGUUGCUCGCAUGAACCCAAGUGGUUGCGGUGAUAGUGACUUGAAAAUGAUUGCACAAGGAUUGUUUCAAGAGAGGAACAUGAAAGGCGAGAAGAAGAAAAGGAAAGGAAAAGCUUUCACUUUUCAUCAUUGCUACAAAGAGCUCAAGGAUGAGGAGAAGUGGCGAGGAAAGAGUAUGCCGAAGAGAAAAGAAUCUUGA